UUUCUGGGAGUCUGGGCGUGUCAGGCC
rnacentral:sRNA from 1 species